rnacentral:rRNA from 1 species
GAUGAACGCUGGCGGCGUGCCUAAUACAUGCAAGUCGAGCGAACUGAUUAGAAGCUUGCUUCUAUGACGUUAGCGGCGGACGGGUGAGUAACACGUGGGCAACCUGCCUGUAAGACUGGGAUAACUUCGGGAAACCGAAGCUAAUACCGGAUAGGAUCUUCUCCUUCAUGGGAGAUGAUUGAAAGAUGGUUUCGGCUAUCACUUACAGAUGGGCCCGCGGUGCAUUAGCUAGUUGGUGAGGUAACGGCUCACCAAGGCAACGAUGCAUAGCCGACCUUAGGGGGUGAUCGGCCACACUGGGACUGAGACACGGCCCAGACUCCUACGGGAGGAAGCAGUAGGGAAUCUUCCGCAAUGGACGAAAGUCUGACGGAGCAACGCCGCGUGAGUGAUGAAGGCUUUCGGGUCGUAAAACUCUGUUGUUAGGGAAGAACAAGUACGAGAGUAACUGCUCGUACCUUGACGGUACCUAACCAGAAAGCCACGGCUAACCACGUGCCAGCCGCCGCAGUAAGAC